ACAGAUAUUCUUCAGUGCUCUGCUUUAUAUGUGUGAAUAUAUCCUAGAAGUCACUCCGUAUCAGUUCACAGUGGUCUUCCUUGAUCUUUUCACGUGCAUUAUCAGGGAGACUCCCCAGAAGUGAGACGACUGUCCCAAAGUGUGCUGUUUAAGUGUGGAGUUACAGUCUCCUUGCAGUAGUUUCUUUGUCUAUCCAGCUAACUCAGACCCCACCC